GGGCCAGGAGGAGGAGCAGGCAGGGAGGCUGCUGGUGCCUUUGGCUCAGCCAGUGGGGCUCUCAGCCCUCUGGAGUGUGCCCUAGGGACCAGUUUGUCCAUGCCCCUGCCUCCAGGCCAGUCACUAGGACCAACAGAUGUCCCAAGGAAGACACCGGCCAUGACUGCAUCCUGGAACCAUAUCAAACUGGCAGCACUUACUUCUCUGGACUUGUUUUUGUUUCACCAAAUUUGCUGGAUCUGUUGGCAAGUUUGAGUGAGUGGGGAAGUUGUGGAUGUGUGUUCAGGCUCUGCCGUGGACCUGGGGGCCAGGGUUAAUCUGCUGGCGGUUUCAGGUGGGAAAGACCAGAGCUUGAUCACAGCACACACAGCACCUGGGGGUCACAACUGAAAUCAUUCGAGGUGUCAUUGUUUCCGAUGUUACUUUACGUUUUGAAAAAUAAAGCUACUGCAUUUUGCAGGUGAACAGUCUCAGACUGCAAAGCAAGUCAGCACUACCACAGAGGGAAUCCCAAACUCGCUGCUGAGAACAGAACAGCUGUGCCCUCGCCGACUGGGACCCGAGUGACAUCUACUGGAGCAAGCAGGGGCUGCACGUGAGCAGGCAGCCAUUCGGUCACUCCCCGUCAUUCCAACACAAUCGAAUUUGUGUAGAAAAUUUACAUGCAUCAUAGGCUAUUUAUGAAUAUAUGCACACGUAGAAAGAGGAAAAAUACGCUUGGAAAUGGUAAACAUAACUUCAAGAUAGUAGUUACCCUUGGGUUCGGUAGGGGUGAAGGAGUGGUAAGGGUUUUAGUUUUAUCUUUAACCAUUUCUUUUUUCACUUACUUAUUUGUAGAGAUGGGAGUCUCACUAUGUUGCCCAGGGUAGUCCUGGUCUCAAGCAAUCCUCCCACCUUGGCUUCCCAAAAUGCUGGGAUUACAGGCGUGAGACACCAUGCCUGGCCACAAUUUGGUUUCUCUUUCAAAAGAUCCGAUACCAGUGUGCCAAAGUAUUGACAUCUAUUAAAUCUUUCAGGUGGUCCUACUGAGGUCUGUUUUUCUGUGCUUAUCUCUAAGUUUAAAAUCGUUCAUAAUAAACAUAUAGUUUAUAUUAAUAGUAAUA
rnacentral:lncRNA from 1 species